CGUUACUAGAUAUUAUAUCCCGCAUAGUGAAAAACAUUAGGUCGAAUUGUCACAACCAAAUACAAAGUUUAACACAAGAGCUCACCGUUAACAUUAUGAUUGAGAAAAUGUCCAACUUUAGUUUUUCUUCAGUGUUUCACUCUAUAUAACAAUGACUCUACAUCAUCUCUGAUUAUCAAUUUAUGUUUUAUUGUCAACGAAAGAUUUUUAUGUUCCUCCCUUGGUUCCAUCUUUGUUUUUUUAGUCUAAUGGAUAAUAUAAUAUUGUAUAUGAAUUAUCUAACAAGCUGUGACCUUUUGGUAUGCAGUUUGAAUAUAAUCGCGUGUUCUCCAUAGCCUCAAAACAUGUCACACACACUUUGAUGCAUCAUAUUGUUUCAGGUUAAAGCUACUGCAUCUGUUACAGUUAUCAACAUUUGUGUGCAUGCAAGAACUUUCAGUCACUUUUUUUGCUUUAUUCAACUACCAUCUUUAUAAACACAGGCUAGCCGUGAUGAAAAAUUAUCACCAUUAUUUAAUUCAGCCGGAACCCUUAUCCAGUGCAUAAUGUAUAGCAUGAUUCAAGGUGACUUCUGCAACAUGUAAAAAAUGAACGGGAAUCAUCCACAUACAUCCGGAAGAUUCCAUGUCAUGGAUAGAAGUGGACUGAUGCGGUGGUUUUCGUGUCAAUUGGCAGGUCGAACAUCAGCUGCGCAUACUGAAGUGGAAAAACCAAACGAAUUACUUAUGAAUGACAGAAACUCGAGGUGAAUUAUAUUAUAUUAUUGAACUGAUGAUUCAAGUAAUUUAUAUUAAAUAAAAGUUUA